rnacentral:rRNA from 1 species
GAUGAACGCUGGCGGCGUGCCUAAUACAUGCAAGUCGAGCGAACGGACGAGAAGCUUGCUUCUCUGAUGUUAGCGGCGGACGGGUGAGUAACACGUGGAUAACCUACCUAUAAGACUGGGAUAACUUCGGGAAACCGGAGCUAAUACCGGAUAAUAUUUUGAACCGCAUGGUUCAAAAGUGAAAGACGGUCUUGCUGCCACUUAUAGAUGGAUCCGCGCUGCAUUAGCUAGUUGGUAAGGUAACGGCUUACCAAGGCAACGAUGCAUAGCCGACCUGAGAGGGUGAUCGGCCACACUGGAACUGAGACACGGUCCAGACUCCUACGGGAGGCAGCAGUAGGGAAUCUUCCGCAAUGGGCGAAAGCCUGACGGAGCAACGCCGCGUGAGUGAUGAAGGUCUUCGGAUCGUAAAACUCUGUUAUUAGGGAAGAACAUAUGUGUAAGUAACUGUGCACAUCUUGACGGUACCUAAUCAGAAAGCCACGGCUAACUACGUGCCAGCAGCCGCGGUAAUACGUAGGUGGCAAGCGUUAUCCGGAAUUAUUGGGCGUAAAGCGCGCGUAGGCGGUUUUUUAAGUCUGAUGUGAAAGCCCACGGCUCAACCGUGGAGGGUCAUUGGAAACUGGAAAACUUGAGUGCAGAAGAGGAAAGUGGAAUUCCAUGUGUAGCGGUGAAAUGCGCAGAGAUAUGGAGGAACACCAGUGGCGAAGGCGACUUUCUGGUCUGUAACUGACGCUGAUGUGCGAAAGCGUGGGGAUCAAACAGGAUUAGAUACCCUGGUAGUCCACGCCGUAAACGAUGAGUGCUAAGUGUUAGGGGGUUUCCGCCCCUUAGUGCUGCAGCUAACGCAUUAAGCACUCCGCCUGGGGAGUACGACCGCAAGGUUGAAACUCAAAGGAAUUGACGGGGACCCGCACAAGCGGUGGAGCAUGUGGUUUAAUUCGAAGCAACGCGAAGAACCUUACCAAAUCUUGACAUCCUUUGACAACUCUAGAGAUAGAGCUUUCCCCUUCGGGGGACAAAGUGACAGGUGGUGCAUGGUUGUCGUCAGCUCGUGUCGUGAGAUGUUGGGUUAAGUCCCGCAACGAGCGCAACCCUUAAGCUUAGUUGCCAUCAUUAAGUUGGGCACUCUAAGUUGACUGCCGGUGACAAACCGGAGGAAGGUGGGGAUGACGUCAAAUCAUCAUGCCCCUUAUGAUUUGGGCUACACACGUGCUACAAUGGACAAUACAAAGGGCAGCGAAACCGCGAGGUCAAGCAAAUCCCAUAAAGUUGUUCUCAGUUCGGAUUGUAGUCUGCAACUCGACUACAUGAAGCUGGAAUCGCUAGUAAUCGUAGAUCAGCAUGCUACGGUGAAUACGUUCCCGGGUCU